rnacentral:rRNA from 1 species
UGCCAGACUCCUACGGGAGGCAGCAGUGGGGAAUAUUGCACAAUGGGGGGAACCCUGAUGCAGCGACGCCGCGUGGGUGAAGGAGCACCUCGGUGCGUAAAGCCCUAUCGGCAGGGAAGAAACAGACGGUACCUGACUAAGAAGCCCCGGCUAACUACGUGCCAGCAGCCGCGGUAAUACGUAUGGAGCAAGCGUUAUCCGGAAUUACUGGGUGUAAAGGGAGCGUAGGCGGCAAGGCAAGUCUGAUGUGAAAACCCAGGGCCCAACCCUGGGACUGCAUUGGAAACUGUAUUGCUUGAGUACCGGAGAGGCAGGCGGAAUUCCUAGUGUAGCGGUGAAAUGCGUAGAUAUUAGGAGGAACACCAGUGGCGAAGGCGGCUUGCUGGACAGAGACUGACGUUGAGGCUCGAAAGCGUGGGGAGCAAACAGGAUUAGAUACCCCAGUA